UCCAGCAUCUGUCUCAUCGACCAGCCUCUCUGGCGGCAGUCGAAUUUCACUCAUUCAUGCCGUGGCUUCUGUUACGUUUGGGCUUACUCCCGCCGCCUGAAUUUGUACCUUAAAUUUACCAUUUUUUCUUCUAAGUAUAUUAUCUUUCUUUCUUUCCAACUAUGUCAGACAAAUUCUGAGGUGUGGCCACGUCAUCCCCGCUUCCUCGAAUUCACACCUUCGUGUCACUGUCUACGCUGGCCUGUGAACGGCCCUGCUCGGCUGCUUCUAAACGCGGAGCUCGGCGAAGGCGUUGAGGUGGGACCCAGGACGGCCUGGCCUCGCGCACCGGACUCUGCUCGCUGUUAGACUCGCGCGCUCCGGAGACCCUUCUGCGGCUUGACCAAAACCUGUGAGACAAUUAUUAGCUUCUUGAUCAUUUGGGAUUCUUCCGUUCUACUGGAGCGUCUAAUACUUGGUCAGUCUAAUUUCUGCACGUACAUAGAGUUGUGCAAUCAUCACCACUUUAGAACUUUUUCUUCACUCAAAAAAGGAACCCCAUGCACGAGAGCGGGCAUUCCCUCCAUCUCCUCCUGGCCCCUGAGCAACUAUUAGCCUACUUUUGGUCUCCAGGGAUUUGCAUAUUUUGGACAUUUCAUAUAAAUGGAAUCAUAUAAUAUGUGACCUUGUGUGUCUAGCGACUUUCACUUACAUGAUGUUGUCAAGUUUCAUCAUGUUCAAGUUUUAUCAUACAUCCUACAUGUCAGUGCCUCAUUACAUUUUAUGGCCAAAUAAUAUCCCAUCAUGGAGAUAUGCCACAUUUUGUUCA